GGGGAUGUUGGACAAACGGUAGACUGCUUGCUUUGCAUGUUAGAGGUACGGGGUUCGAUACCCCGCUUUUCMA
rnacentral:tRNA from 1 species